rnacentral:rRNA from 1 species
AAUGAACGCUGGCGGCGUGCCUAACACAUGCAAGUCGAGCGAGAAAGGUCCCCUUCGGGGGCGAGUAAGCGGCGCACGGGUGAGUAACGCGUGGGUAACCUGCCCUUGGAGUGGGGGAUAACCAGCCGAAAGGCUGACUAAUCCCGCAUACGACCGGCAGACACAAGUCUGUCGGGGAAAGAUGGCCUCUGCUUGCAAGCUAUCGCUCUUGGAUGGGCCCGCGUUGGAUUAGCUAGUUGGUGGGGUAACGGCCUACCAAGGCUGCGAUCCAUAGCUGGUUUGAGAGGACGACCAGCCACACUGGAACUGAGACACGGUCCAGACUCCUACGGGAGGCAGCAGUGAGGAAUAUUGCGCAAUGGGGGAAACCCUGACGCAGCGACGCCGUGUGAGCGAUGAAGGCCUUCGGGUCGUAAAGCUCUGUCAGAGGGAAAGAAAGGGUCGGCGGAAUAAUACCCGCCGACAUUGACGGUACCCUCGGAGGAAGCACCGGCUAACUCCGUG